CCCCUCUCAGGAUCGCACCCGGAGAGCUUCCAAUAACUCUACCGGUCUUGACUACGGGAGGGAGAGUCAAGCAGAGGCUUACCCAUUCCAUUCCCAGCUUGGCCAGUGGCUAGCGAAUGGCAGGCAAUCUGCCGCAAGU